rnacentral:rRNA from 1 species
ACUGCUCAGUAACACGUGGAUAACCUGCCCUGCGGUGGGAAAUAACCCCGGGAAACUGGGGAUAAUGUCCCAUAGGCUACGGAUGCUGGAAUGCUCUGUAGCUCAAAGAUUUAUCGCCACAGGAUGGGUCUGCGGCCGAUUAGGUAGUUGUUGGGGUAACGGCCCAACAAGCCUUUGAUCGGUACGGGUUGUGGGAGCAAGAGCCCGUAGAUGGAUUCUGAGACACGAAUCCAGGCCCUACGGGGCGCAGCAGGCGCGAAAACUUUACAAUGCGGGAAACCGUGAUAAGGGAACUCCGAGUGUCCGUGAAUGCGGACUGUCCGUAUGUUUAAAAAGCAUGCGAAGAAAGGGCCGGGCAAGACCGGUGCCAGCCGCCGCGGUAAUACCGGCGGCUCGAGUGGUGGCCACUAUUACUGGGCUUAAAGCGUUCGUAGCUGGGUUGUUAAGUUUCUUGGGAAAUCUACCGGUUUAACCGAUAGGCGUCCAAGGGAUACUGGCAAUCUAGGGACCGGGAGAGGUGAGGGGUACUUCAGGGGUAGGAGUGAAAUCCUGUAAUCCUUGGGGGACCACCUGUGGCGAAGGCGCCUCACCAGAACGGCUCCGACAGUGAGGGACGAAAGCUGGGGGAGCAAACCGGAUUAGAUACCCGGGUAGUCCCAGCCGUAAACGAUGCGCGUUAGGUGUAUCGAUGACCACGAGUCAUCGAGGUGCCGAAGGGAAACCGUGAAACGCGCCGCCUGGGAAGUACGGUCGCAAGGCUGAAACUUAAAGGAAUUGGCGGGGGAGCAC